AAUGAACGCUGGCGGCGCGCCUAAUACAUGCAAGUCGAGCGAGAAGACGUAGCAAUACGUCUGUAAAGCGGCGAACGGGUGAGGAAUACAUGGGUAACCUACCCUCGAGUGGGGAAUAACUAGCCGAAAGGUUAGCUAAUACCGCGUACGCUCCUUGGACUUCGGUUCAGGGAGGAAAGCGAUACCGUGGGUAUCGCGCUCUUGGUUGGGCUCAUGUCCUAUCAGCUUGUUGGUGAGGUAACGGCUCACCAAGGCUUCGACGGGUAGCUGGUCUGAGAGGACGAUCAGCCACACUGGCACUGCGACACGGGCCAGACUCCUACGGGAGGCAGCAGUAAGGAAUAUUGCGCAAUGGGCGAAAGCCUGACGCAGCGACGCCGCGUGGGGGAUGAAGGUCUUC
rnacentral:rRNA from 1 species